rnacentral:rRNA from 1 species
GCGUUGCUCGGAAUGACUGGGCGUAAAGGGCGCGUAGGCGGUUCGUACAGUCAGACGUGAAAUUCCCGGGCUCAACCUGGGGACUGCGUUUGAUACGUGCGGGCUUGAGUUCGGAAGAGGGUCGUGGAAUUCCCAGUGUAGAGGUGAAAUUCGUAGAUAUUGGGAAGAACACCGGUGGCGAAGGCGGCGACCUGGUCCGAUACUGACGCUGAGGCGCGAAAGCGUG